ensembl:lncRNA
GAUGUGACCAACCGUCCACUCACUGAGUUCAUGGCUCCCUGUAUUGACUCCCUCCCACCGCUGGCUUUCACCAAUCGGAGGCCUAUACCAACCAUGUUACGUCCCCCCUCUCAAUUGGCCAUACGCGCUCAGGAUGCACAGCGGUUCAUUGUAUUUUCAUACUUUGUCCCUGCUGAGUGCCCAGUUGCCACAGAGGCCACAGCAGAUGUAUCUACUGGUAAAAGAGAGGACUUAUUGACAGAUACACAUCUUUCCUCAAUGCUGCAUCGAUACCUGCCACACUUCUUUAACGAUGACUCCAUUCCACCACAGCAGACAGUAGAGGGAACCACUGAGCUCUCAGUUGCUCCAGUGGCAAUAUCUAAUAUAAAGGAAGAGGACAGAUUCUAUCCUUUCUCCCUCCCACCACUGGCUCAGCGGUUCGUUGGCAAUUCAUUAAUUGUCCCAGGAACCUCCCAGCCUGCUGUUUCAGCCACAGAGUGCCGAGUUGCCAAAGAGGCCACUGCAGACACAGCCACUGUCAAGAGAGAGAACCGAUGGGCAGCCAGAAGUCUUCCUUCAGUGCUGCCUCCAUGCCUGCCACCAGUCUUUGACGAUGACUUCAAGCCUACAGAGCAGACAGUAGAGGAUGCCUAUGAGGUCUCAGGUGCUACAGAGAACACUUCAGGCACAGCUACUGUUGAUGGAGUGGACAGAUCAACAGCUAAAUGCCCUGUCCCAAUGCUGCCUCCAAGUCUGCCACCUGUCUUUGACAAUGACUACAAACUGCCAGAGGAGGCAGUAGAGGGAACCAACAAGUGUCCAGUCGCCAGUGAAUCUGUCGCUUCCGUGUCCGCUGUCCUCCAAGAGGAGUUUUCAGCUGAUAAGAGUCUUCCUGCACCCGCAGCACUGCCUCUAUGGCUGCCCUGCACCCACAGCAUUGACCACAAACAGCUAUGGGAGAAAGUUGAGGACAACACAGAGUUCUCAGUAGACAAAGAAGCAACUGUUGCCAUUUACACUUGGGAAGAUAAAAGUCCUUCAGUUCUGCCAUGCAUCCACAACAACAACGACCACCAACUGCCAGAGGAGACAGUUGAGGACAACACAGAGUGCUCAGUUGACACCGAGGCAAGUGCAGUUGCAUCCACUGUUAAGAGAGAGGAAUUGACUUGUGAUAAAAGCCCUGUCCGAGCAAUUCCUCCAAUCCUGGGAUGCAUCCAUGACAAGGACCACAAGGAGGAGGUGAGACAGAUGGAGGGAUUGAAGCGUGAGGCGGACUGUGCCCAUUCCAAGAGCUCCAAUGGGAUGCCUUCAUCAGAGAGAGCAGAGACCAUCCUUGGAAGAGUGGGCUUUCUGGUCAUGAACCACAUGCAGAAAAUCCCAUUUUUGAAGAUGAAGGAAAAAGAGAAAAAUAAGAAACUGCAUAAGAAGUUGAAAGAUGACGAGAAAGAGAGAAAGGAGAAGAAAAACAAGGAGGAGGAGAACAAAAAGAGGGAGAAGAAAGAGAUGAAUGAGAGAGAGAAAGAGCAGAAGAAAGUCAUGAAGGCUGAGAAAAAGAGGGAGAAGUUAGAACAGAAAAAGAGAGAGAAGGAAAGAAAAGAGAAGGAAAAGGCAGAGAAAAAGAGGGAGAAGUUAGAACAGAAAAAGAGAGAGAAGGAAAGAAAAGAGAAGGAAAAGGCAGAGAAAAAGAGGUUAGAGGGGCUGAUGAAGAUGCAUAAUCACAUGAUGAAAGACAGGAUUAAGAAAGAGAAGAAGUGUUCUGAGGAGCUGAAAAAGAGAGAGAAAGCUCAAGCUGAGUUCUUGGAGAUGGAGAGAAAGAUUCAAGAAAAGGAGGAGAAGAAGAGAGAAAAGAUGAAGAAAGAGGAGAGGAAGAGACUAGAGAAGAAGAAAAAGAGGGAGCCAGCUGGAGGUGGAACUGAGAGGGUGAUAGAAGAGCAGGGAAAGGAUGAAAGCUUGAAGAUGGAUGAGUAGACUGGGUAUUUAGAGAGA